rnacentral:tRNA from 1 species
GGAGAGGUGGCCGAGUGGUUUAAGGCGCUCGCCUGGAACGCGAGUUGGGCGCAAGCCCUCGCAGGUUCGAAUCCUGUCCUCUCCGCCA